rnacentral:rRNA from 1 species
UACGGAAGGCAGCAGUGGGGAAUAUUGCACAAUGGGCGCAAGCCUGAUGCAGCCAUGCCGCGUGUAUGAAGAAGGCCUUCGGGUUGUAAAGUACUUUCAGCGGGGAGGAAGGCGAUGCGGUUAAUAACCGCGUCGAUUGACGUUACCCGCAGAAGAAGCACCGGCUAACUCCGUGCCAGCAGCCGCGGUAAUACGGAGGGUGCAAGCGUUAAUCGGAAUUACUGGGCGUAAAGCGCACGCAGGCGGUCUGUUAAGUCAGAUGUGAAAUCUCCGGGCUUAACCUGGGAACUGCAUUUUGAAACUGGCAGGCUUGAGUCUUGUAGAGGGGGUUAGAAUUCCAGGUGUAGCGGUGAAAUGCGUAGAGAUCUGGAGGAAUACCGGUGGCGAAGGCGGGCCCCUGGGACAAAGCUGACGCUCAGGUGCGAAAGCGUGGGGAGCAAACAGGGAUUAGAUAA